rnacentral:tRNA from 1 species
CUACAAGUGACUGAAAGUAAGUACCGGUCUCUUAAACCGCAUUAUAAUACCCUAACAAGUAUUCCUGUAGA